GAGUAACACGUAUCCAACCUGCCGUCUACUCUUGGCCAGCCUUCUGAAAGGAAGAUUAAUCCAGGAUGGCAUCAUGAGUUCACAUGUCCGCAUGAUUAAAGGUAUUUUCCGGUAGACGAUGGGGAUGCGUUCCAUUAGAUAGUAGGCGGGGUAACGGCCCACCUAGUCAACGAUGGAUAGGGGUUCUGAGAGGAAGGUCCCCCACAUUGGAACUGAGACACGGUCCAA
rnacentral:rRNA from 1 species